rnacentral:rRNA from 1 species
GGGGAAUUUUCCGCAAUGGGCGAAAGCCUGACGGAGCAAUACCGCGUGAGGGAGGAAGGCUUUUGGGUUGUAAACCUCUUUUAAUAAGGAAGAAGAAAGUGACGGUACUUAUUGAAUCAGCAUCGGCUAACUCCGUGCCAGCAGCCGCGGUAAUACGGAGGAUGCAAGCGUUAUCCGGAAUCAUUGGGCGUAAAGCGUCCGCAGGUGGCCAUUCAAGUCUGCUGUUAAAGACAGAAGCUUAACUUCUGAUAGGCAGUGGAAACUGGAUGGCUAGAGUAUGGCAGGGGUUGAGGGAAUUCCCAGUGUAGCGGUGAAAUGCGUAGAUAUUGGGAAGAACACCAGUGGCGAAGGCGCUCAACUGGGCCAUAACUGACACUCAGGGACGAAAGCUAGGGUAGCGAAAGGGAUUAGAUACCCCUGUAGUCA